rfam:Oryza barthii chromosome 7, whole genome shotgun sequence.
AAUAUAAGGUAUUUUGAGUUUUUGCUUGCAACAUUUGACCACUCGUCUUAUUCAAAAUUUUUUGAAAUUAUUAUUUAUUUUAUUUGUGACUUACUUUAUUAUCUAUAGUAUUUUAAACACAACUUUUCGUUUUUUAUAUUUACAAAAAAAAAUCAAAUAAGACGAGUGGUCAAACGUUGCAAGCAAAAACUCAAAAUCCCUUAUA